UACGAAGGGGGCUAGCGUUGCUCGGAAUUACUGGGCGUAAAGGGCGCGUAGGCGGCACUGUUAGUCAGGCGUGAAAGUCCUGGGCUCAACCUGGGAACUGCGCUUGAUACGGCAGAGCUAGAGGAUGGAAGAGGGUCGCGGAAUUCCCAGUGUAGAGGUGAAAUUCGUAGAUAUUGGGAAGAACACCGGUGGCGAAGGCGGCCCACUGGAUCGGUACUGACGCUGAGGUGCGAAAGCGUGGGGAGCAAACAGG
rnacentral:rRNA from 1 species